rnacentral:rRNA from 1 species
GACGAACGCUGGCGGCGUGCUUAACACAUGCAAGUCGAACGGAAAGGCCCUGCUUUUGUGGGGUGCUCGAGUGGCGAACGGGUGAGUAACACGUGAGUAACCUGCCCUUGACUUUGGGAUAACUUCAGGAAACUGGGGCUAAUACCGGAUAGGAGCUCCUGCUGCAUGGUGGGGGCUGGAAAGUUUCGGCGGUUGGGGAUGGACUCGCGGCUUAUCAGCUUGUUGGUGGGGUAGUGGCUUACCAAGGCUUUGACGGGUAGCCGGCCGGAGAGGGUGACCGGCCACAUUGGGACUGAGAUACGGCCCAGACUCCUACGGGAGGCAGCAGUGGGGAAUAUUGCACAAUGGGCGGAAGCCUGAUGCAGCAACGCCGCGUGCGGGAUGACGGCCUUCGGGUUGUAAACCGCUUUCGCCUGUGACGAAGCGUGAGUGACGGUAAUGGGUAAAGAAGCACCGGCUAACUACGUG